rnacentral:rRNA from 1 species
GAGUUUGAUCCUGGCUCAGAUUGAACGCUGGCGGCAUGCCUUACACAUGCAAGUCGAACGGCAGCACGGGAGCUUGCUCCUGGUGGGCGAGUGGCGAACGGGUGAGUAAUGCAUCGGAACGUAUCCUGGAGUGGGGGAUAACGUAGCGAAAGUUACGCUAAUACCGCAUAUUCUGUGAGCAGGAAAGCGGGGGACCUUCGGGCCUCGCGCUCUUGGAGCGGCCGAUGUCGGAUUAGCUAGUUGGUGAGGUAAAGGCUCACCAAGGCGACGAUCCGUAGCAGGUCUGAGAGGAUGAUCUGCCACACUGGAACUGAGACACGGUCCAGACUCCUACGGAGGCAGCAGUGGGAAUUUUGGACAAUGGGGGCAACCCUGAUCCAGCCAUGCCGCGUGAGUGAAGAAGGCCUCGGUU